rnacentral:rRNA from 1 species
GACGAACGCCGGCGGCGCGCCUAACACAUGCAAGUCGAACGGAGCAAAGGGGAGCUUGCUUUUCUUUGCUUAGUGGCGAACGGGUGAGUAACGCGUGAGUAACCUGCCCUGGAGUGGGGGACAACAGUUGGAAACGACUGCUAAUACCGCAUAAGCCCACGGAGCCGCAUGGCUCUGAGGGAAAAGGAUUUAUUCGCUUCAGGAUGGACUCGCGUCCAAUUAGCUAGUUGGUGAGGUAACGGCCCACCAAGGCGACGAUUGGUAGCCGGACUGAGAGGUUGAACGGCCACAUUGGGACUGAGACACGGCCCAGACUCCUACGGGAGGCAGCAGUGGGGGAUAUUGCACAAUGGGGGAAACCCUGAUGCAGCGACGCCGCGUGGAGGAAGAAGGUUUUCGGAUUGUAAACUCCUGUCGUUAGGGACGAUAAAUGACGGUACCUAACAAGAAAGCACCGGCUAACUACGUGCCAGCAGCCGCCGCCGUAAC